rnacentral:lncRNA from 1 species
UUUUUUUUUUUUUUUACUUUGUUAGUGUGUUUGUUGAUACUUUUAUGCUAUAAUAUAGCUACAUUUAUCAUUCUUGUUAUUAGAUUAGAACUUUAAGAAAACGAAAUGAAAACUCACCCAAAAGAACAAAAAGAAUAGAACUUUGACUGCUAUUUCUGUGAGAUUAUCAGUUAUGGAGUAAGUUCUUGUUUUUUUCCCACUCCAUAAUGCAAGACUUUAAAAUGCUAUGUUAUAACUCAUAAACUUUUAAUCCUGCUAAUAGCUUAAGAUCAAUUAUGUAGUCCAAAAUUAGUGAUUGAACAAAAUGUUAUCUCUUAAAGAAUAAAAAUAUUUAUUAUUGCUGUUUUCCCCCCUUUUUCACAGCAAAGUAGAUUUCACCGGCGCUGUUGUUCAACUCAGAGCAUUGUUCAUAAUGGAGCAAGAUAGGUUUGUGCCUCUUGUAACUACUUACUUCAUUGUUUUGACUUUUUUGGACGGUUAAAAGUGCUUAAUUACAUUCAAACAUCCAUUGCUAGUCUAAAGUCCAAAAUCAUAGCUAUGAUUAAGGAAGAUUGAGGUCAUUUUUUCUGUUGACAUUAUUGAUUUAAUUCGUUGUCAUCCUUUCAUCUCCUAUAUGGCCCUUUUUGCUUAUGUUUUUCUUGCAUUUAUGUCAUUUGCUAGUCUAAAGUCUAAACUCAUAGCAGGUUAAAUUCUCCACACACUUCAGCCAUUUGCCUUGAAGUUCUAGGCCAUCAACUUCAGUUUUGCCAGGUAAUUAGGCAUUCGAAUAUGGUCUGCGUCCUUUCUUUUCUUUUGGCUAUGAUAGUGACUCCUUGAGCCGUAUCCAUUUCUGUAUUUUCAUGCCAUUCAAAUUUGGCACCUCUAUUGAGGUACUGCAUGUAUUGCAUUUUUUUAAUUGAGAAAUAAGGAACACGAGAAUCAUGAUUUUCAUUUUAAUUUGACUUAAAGAAAUCAAAAUUAUGGAGUGAACAUCAACAAUCUCCAAAGAGAGCCGUUAGCUUUCACUGACAGUGAUACUUGUCCUCAUUCCUUCAGUUCAUCAAGGAGAUUCCGGGUUUACCAAAAACUGCAUGGAUAUAAGUUUUUACUUGCUGUCUCUUGUCAAAAUAUAUUCCUUACUGUCUUAUUAACUUCUGUUUGAAGGUCUGCUCUCCUCUAAUUUCCGCUAGUAUAUCUUGAAUUGUUGGCCUUUCUUUGUUGUUUUAAAUUAUGACAGGAUCCCAAUUCGAAGCAUUUAGGCACAACUGUUUGGGAUGCAUCAAUGGUUUUAGUAAAAUUUCUGGUAAGGAUUAAAGUCCCCUCUGAUACACUUCAGCUUCAACGCAGCUAUUUUCGAUUUGCUAUUAUAGGUUUCUAAUUUACUCUAAGACUUGCUCAGAAAUGUCUGUCCUUGCCAUGAUACUAUACUCCUCUUUUUCAUCUUUCUUAAUCCCUGCUGUAAUUUUUCAUCUUCUUUUCCCUUUUCUGGCUGGUGAUUAUGAUAGAGGGAACACUGACUUUAAAAAUUGAGUCUGUUCAGUUAUUCAUGCUUUUAUACACUUACUAAUAUUUACAGUUUGAGCAUUCCUAUUCCUUCAGUUUUGAGGUUAUCAUCUGGGAACUUAUUUAUUUGAAAUUAUAGGAAAAAAACUGUCGAAAGGGGAGGUUUUCUCCAUCUAAAUUGAGAGGAAAGCGUGUGAUUGAACUUGGAGCAGGUUGCGGUGUUGCAGGAUUUGGUAAGCUGCCUUUAUUUUGUUAGGCUCAGUUCUUUUAGAUGCCAUUUACAGUGGGGCAGUUAUUGUCUGAGAUCGACCAAAUCUCUCCACAGGCAUGGCAUUGCUUGGAUGUGAUGUUGUUUCAACUGACCAAACCGAGGUUUUGCCAUUGCUGAUGAGAAACGUGGAGCGUAAUACUUCCAGGAUAAUGCAGACAGGCUCAGGUUCAGGUUUCAGCUUAAUGUGCCAUUUGUAUCAUUUUAGCUUUUUGUACUGUAUACUCUUUGUCAUUUGUCGUUUGUUUUGGCACUGCUAAUUAAACUCUGUUCUGUUGAUAUCUUCUAAGAACCUAACUUUACCUGUUAACCUAAUGGUGUUUCGUUCUAUCAAACAGAAAGCUGCAAACUGGAAUUGAAUUUUGAGAGGAUGUUGUUGUAUUUACUAUGACCGACUGAAAGCUCUAUUCCUUGUAGACUCAUUUGGUUCCAUCGAGGCUGCAGAGUUGGACUGGGGUAAUGAGAAUCAUAUAAAGGCUGUUGAACCUCCAUUCGAUUAUAUCAUUGGGACUGAUGUUGUAAGUUUUAUCAUCGAUAGGGUAGUGGAAUUCUAUUUGCUCCUUCACUGGCCUUUGCUUUGCACUGAGAAUAAAUUUCUUUAUAGGAGACAUCCAGUUUACCUGGAACCAAUACGAAUAUACAUUUACCGCUAGUGCUAAAAAUUAAAGGAACCUGUAUCCAUGAUGAUUUUCUUUAGGGCAUAGUGCAUAUUUUCUCAUUUGGUUUCACUGGUAUAUUGUAUUUUAUGCCACAGUUUUUAAUUCUGUCAAUGAUUUUUCAGCGUGUAGGGAUUUUCAUAGAUGAGAAUAUGUCAAAGUAGCCUUUGGUUUCUCCUGCACACCGGAUAUCAUUUAUGAAAUAUAAAUUAGUGCAGAAGCUGGUACCAGUAUUGUUUCCAGGAAUCAUCUUAGGCCUUUACUUCUCUAAGUUAUCUAGUUCUCUGGAACACAUGUAUUCCUAAAGAUUGCUAUUGCUUCUCUUAUCGUCCAAGAUUGUUUCUUUAAGCAAUAUUCUACUCCCCACCAUUUGAUUGAAAUGCAGGAAACAAAGAAUAGUUAAGCGUCUCUCUAGAAUCUAAAUUUCACAUGGUGGAAGUCAGGAUGAGGAGGAGCGUGUCUAUUUCCGUGAACCAGCUCGGAUUCAUGACGGGACGCUCGACUACGGAAGCUAUUCAUCUGGUGAGGAGAUUAGUGAAUCAGUAUAGGGAAAGGAAAAAGGACUUGCAUAUGGUGUUUAUCAACCUUGAAAAAGCGAACGAUAAAGUGCCGAGGGAAAUUUUAUGGAGGUAUCUGGAGGUUAGUGGCAUUCCGGUAGUGUACACUAGGGUGAUUAAGGAUAUGUACGAUGGUGCUAAGACUCGGGUGAGGACGGUGGGAGGGGACUUGGAGCACUUUCCAGUUGUGAUGGGGCUGCACCAGGGAUCGACUCUUAUCCCGUUUUUAUUUGCCUUCGCGAUGGACGUACUGACGCGGCACAUACAGGGGGAAGUGCCAUGGUGCAUGCUAUUUGCCGACGAUACAAUGUUGAUCGACGAGACGCGAAGCGGGGUCAAUGCAAGGUUGGAGGUUUGGAGGCAGACCUUGGAGUCUAAAGGUUUCAAGUUGAGCAGGACUAAACAGAAUACUUAGUGCAAAUUCAGUGACGGGGCUCAUAAGUCACACGUGAAUGUGAAGCUUGAUACUCAAGUUAUCCCCAAGAAAGCUAGUUUCAAGUAUCUCGGGUCUAUUAUCUCGGGUCUAAACAGAAUACUUAGUGCAAAUUCAGUGACGGGGCUCAUAAGUCACACGUGAAUGUGAAGCUUGAUACUCAAGUUAUCCCCAAGAAAGCUAGUUUCAAGUAUAUCGGGUCUAUUAUCCAGGGUAACGGGGAGAUUGACAAGGAUGUCAUACAUCGUAUUGGAACGGGAUGGAUAAAAUGGAGGCAUGCGUUCGGCGUCUUAUGUGAUAGGAAUGUGCCGCCGAGACUUAAAGGUAAAUUUUACAGAGUGGUGGUCCGACCAACUAUGCUAUAUGGGGCGGAAUGUUAGCCAAUUAAGAAUUUACAUGUGGAGAGGAUGAAAGUAGCAGAAAUGAGGAUGUUGAGGUGGAUGAGUGGGUAUACUAGGAGACAUAAGAUUAGUAAUGAAGCUAUUCGGGACAAAGUGGGACUGGCCUCCGUGUAGGACAAGAUACGGGAGUCGAGGCUGAGAUGAUUCGGGCACAUAAAGAGGAGAAGCAUUGAUGCUCCUGUCACAAGAUGUGAGAGGCUGAUCAUGGCGAGUUUGAGAAGAGGUCGAGGUAGGCCAAUGAAGUAUUUGGGGGAGGUGAUUAGACAUGAUAUGGCGCGGUUUCAGCUUACUGAGGACAUGACCCUUGAUAGGAAGGUAUGAAGGUCGAGGAUUAGGAUAGAAGGUUAGUCAUAAUUGUAAGCUUCUCCUUUUCUUACCAGUUACUUUAGUAGCACUCAGGUUCCUGCAUAUUCUUAACCAGAUUGUUACUUCGUCAUGUGAUUUAGUUCGCUUUUGUUAUCGUAUUUUUUGUUGUUAGUGUUUAGUACUACUAAUUCCCCCCCCCCCCACCCUUUAUUUUCUUUUUCUUUUUCCUUUCUUCUUCUUCUUCUUCCCCCGUCGUCUUCUUCCUCUUCUUCCCCUUCUUCUUCUCACUCUUUCUAAGUCGAGGGUCUAUUGGAAACAGCCUCUCUACCUUCACUAGAUAGGGGUAAGGUCUGCGUACACACUACCCUCCUCAGACCCCACUUGUGGAAAUAUAUUGGGUUAGUUGUUGUUGUAUUUUCCUUUGGGCUGUCAACUAAUCACUAGAACGUAACUAUGAAAUAAUUGUCUUAUUUCUCUAGUAGUAUUAAAACCCGCGCGAUGCGCGGAUGGUACUUUUGAAUAUUAGUGUGAUAAUAUUGUUCUUAAUUAUUUGCUCACUUCAAUGCUAUUAGGUAUAGUAAAUUUACUACAUAAAUAAGAAAUAUGGUCAAGGAUGAUGAAUUUAAAAGGUAGCCAUCUCAAACUCAAAAAUCACAUAGUUUCUAAUCGUACACUUUAGGAACUUUUUUCCCAGGUUCCUAAACUGGGAUGCUGUGGCAUAAAGGCUGGAGUAUUGAUUCCUUUUUUUCAUUUUACAGAGGUGACAUCAAUAUCUCAUACAUAAAACAUAUAUAAGAAGUUUAAAGUUUCACAAGCACAAGUAGAUACAGAAACCUUAACUACACAGACACUUAUUCAACUCUUGAUUCAUUCACUUAACUCACAUAUAACAUUCAAAAGUUCCUUCUCAUCAUUCUGUGAAUGAUAUAACAACAUAAACAUUCAAAUGCGAUAUUUCAAAACUUUCCAAUAGCUCUUCUAAUAUCAAUCAAAUCGAUAACAUAAAGAGUUAAGUAACUUUAGAUUAUAAAUCAUGAUUCUAAAUGGCAGAAACCAAAUUAAAAUACAACUUAAACUACUUCUCCUUCGUACCAAACUACUUGCUAAUGCAAUUGUCUAAAUAACCUUAUUUCAUGAAUUUUCUCCUGUUUAAUCACUCUUUUGACCUUAUUACUCCCUCCGCUUCACAAUAAGUGACCAAUUUGCUUUUUCAUUUUGGUUCAAAAUAAGUGUCCAGUUAUGUAAUCAAGAAAGAAUUCAAUUUGUUUUUACAAAAUAACCCCUAUGUACAUAUCCCUAAAA